rnacentral:rRNA from 1 species
UUGAAAGGGAAACGAUUGAAGUCAGUCAUACCAACGGGAAAUCAACCUUUUGAGCUCGGUCUCGUGGGUUUUGAAGAGUUUCAAAGCCUUCGGAUUCGCGGGAUUGGGAUCUCUCGGUGUACUUUUUCGUACGGUUAGUCAACAUCGGUUUUGAAUGUCAUAAAAUGAUUGGGGGAAUGUAGCUUCGAUCUCGUAUUGAAGUGUUAUAGCCUUUGGUAGAUGUGAUGUUUGAGACCGAGGAUUGCAACGGAUACACUUCAGGGCUAUUCGUCUGAUCUCUGAUACGUUGCCUUGAUGUUGAAAGCCUGCUUAUGAUGUUAGGGUAUUACGGUCAAAAGGUUAGAACGGAUUAGAUUCGUUAAGGAUGUUGACGUA